GAUGAACGCUGGCGGCGUGCCUAAUACAUGCAAGUCGAGCGAACAGACGAGGAGCUUGCUCCUCUGACGUUAGCGGCGGACGGGUGAGUAACACGUGGAUAACCUACCUAUAAGACUGGGAUAACUUCGGGAAACCGGAGCUAAUACCGGAUAAUAUAUUGAACCGCAUGGUUCAAUAGUGAAAGACGGUUUUGCUGUCACUUAUAGAUGGAUCCGCGCCGCAUUAGCUAGUUGGUAAGGUAACGGCUUACCAAGGCAACGAUGCGUAGCCGACCUGAUAGGGGGAUAGGCGACCCUGGAGCUGAGCCAGGGACCAUGCUCCUACGGGAGGCAGCAGAAGGGAAUCGGCCGCAGUGGUCGGAAGCAUUACGGAGCAACGCCGCGUGAGUGAUGAAGGUCUUCGGAGCGUAAAACUCGGUUAUUAGGGAAGAACAAAUGUGUAAGUAACUAUGCACGGCUUGACGGUACCUAGUCAGAAAGCCACGGCUAACUACGUG
rnacentral:rRNA from 1 species